CAACCUCAGAUCAGACAUGGUGACCUGCCUAAUUUAAGCAUAUUACUUAGUGGAGAAAAAGAAGCUAACCAGGAUUUCCUCAGUAAUGGUGAGUGAAGAGGGAAGAGCCCAUCCCGAAUACCCACCAGGGCAUUGGGCACAGGGAAAUGUGGCAUACGGAAGUCCGUCUCCCUGUUGCAACCUAGGGGGCCCAAAUCCUUGUGAUCGAGGCUCAGCCCGCCAAUGGUGUGAGGCCAGUGGUAGCCCCCGACGCAUCGGGAUGAGGUCUUCCCAGAGUCGGGUUGUUUCUGAAUGCAGCCCAAAGCAGGUGGUAAACUCCAUCUAAGGCUAAACACCAGCACGAGACCGAUAGUGGACAAGUACCGUAAGGGAAAGUUGAAAAGAACUUUGAAGAGAGUGUUCAAGAGGGCAUGUAACCAUUCAGAGGUAAACAGGUGGGAUCUGUGCAGUCUGCCCAGAGGAAUCAACCUGGUGAAUGCAUGCGUACUGCCUGGCCUAGGCAGAUCCACCUCCCCCUCAACUGAGGUGGGGGACUGUCCUUGGGCAUGCCAGCUACCAUCAGGCACACUUCCUCUGUGGUGAUGCACCACGACUAGCUCUGGGUUGGCCAGGAAGGCCGCGAGGAAGGUGGCUCCCUUCCCUGGAUGGGAGUGUUACAGCCCGCAUCAUCAGCCCUCACCAUGCCCCAGGUUUGUGGGAGACGACCGCCGCCACACAUGCCCCUGCCCUUGCGGUGGGGGCCAGGGGUCCCCGGCUCCUGGUGGGACUGUUGACUAGGCCGGGCUGCCCUCAGUGCAGCCUGACUGCAUCCUGCCGCCAGGCUGUCAGGUUCACCUCAGGUGCCUGAGGUCCGCAGCAACAUCGGUGACCCACCCUUCCCGUCUUGAAACACGGACGGAGUCUAACAGGUGCGCGAGUUUGAGGGUGGACAGGAAACUCCAUGGUGCAAUGAAAGUGAGGGCCGGUGCACGCCGGCUGAGGCAGGAUCCCCCUGCCCUGCAUGGGGGGCUCACUGCUGGCCCAUCUCACCCAUCUCGUCAGAGAGGUGGAGCGUGAGCACACCUGGUGGGACCCGAAAGAUGGUCAACUAUGCCUGGUCAGGGCAAAGCUAGAGGAAUCUCUGAUGGAGAUCUGUAGAAGUCCUGACAUGCAAAUCGGUCAUCUGACCUGGGUAUAGGGGCGAAAGACUAAUCGAACCAUCUAGUAGCUGGUUCCCUCCGAAUUUUCCCUCAGGAUAGCUGGCACUCGACCAUUGCAGUUUUCUCUGGUAAAGCAAAGGAUUAGAGGUCUUGGGGCUGAAACAAUCUCAACCUAUUCUCAAACUUUAAAUGGGUAAGUAACCUGACUCGCUGGCUUGGAGCCGGGCGUGGAAUGCGAGCACCCAGUGGGCCACUUUUGGUAAGCAGAAUUGGUACUGUGAGAUGAACUGAACCCCGGGUUAAGGUGUCAGAUGCCGACACUCAUCAGACCCCAGAAAAGUUGUUGUUUGAUAUAGACAGCAGGACGGUGUCCAUGGAAGUCGGAAUCUGCUAAGCAGUGUGCAACAACUCACCUGCCGAAUCAGCUUGCCCUGAAAAUGGAUGGCGCUGGAGCAUCGUGCCCAUACUCGGCUGUUGCUGGCACUGGGAGCCAAGGAUGCUACACCACGGUGAGUAGGAGGGCCGCCGCAGUGGCACUGAAGCCCAGGGUGAGGGCCCAGAUGGAGCCACCAUGGGUGCAGAUCUUGGUGGUAGUAGCAAAUAUUCAAACGAGAGCUUUGAAGGCCAAAGUGGAGAAGGGUUCCAUGUGAACAGCAGUUGAACAUGGGUCAGUCGGUCCUGAAAUGAUAGGCGAGUGCUGUUCCGAAGGGACAGGCAAUGGCCUCCAUUGCCCUCAGCCGAUUGAAAGGGAGUCAGGUUCAGAUCCCUGAAUCUGAAGUGGCGGAGAUGGGUGCCUCAUGGCGUCCAGUGUGGUGACGCAAAAGAUUCUGUAGAAGCUGGUGGGCUCCCCUGGGAGAGUUCUCUUUUCUUUGUAAAGGGCAGGGCACCCUGGAAUGGGUUUGCCCUGAGAGAGAGGUCCGUGCCGCGGAAAAUGUUGCAGUUCCGGUGGCGUCAGGUGAGCUCUCGCUGGACCUUGAAAAUCCAGGGGAGUGGGUGUAAGUCUCAUACCAGGCCGUGCCCAUAUUCACAGCAGGUCUCCAAGGUGAACAGCCUCUGGCAUGUUAGAACAAUGCAGGUAAGGGAAGUCAGCAAGCCAUAUCCAUAACUUCAGGAUAAGGAUUCACUCUAAGGGCUUGGUCAGUAGGGCUCAGGUAUGAAGCGGGGCUGGGCGCGUGCAGUGACUGGAUGAGGUGUUGCCACCUCACCAUGCUCCCCCCUCCUAGUGGGCCGGGCAUGGCGGCUGCGACUCUGGACAUUGCACCAGGCCCUUCCUGUAGAUCACCCUGGCUGUGGCGGGUGCUGGUCCCAACCAGCAUCCCGCAUCACCCGGCAGCUAGCAGUUGACUUGGAACUGGUUGUGG